CGUGUAGGUGGUUAGAUAAGUCAGAUGUGAAAGCUUCCAGCUUAACCGGAAAACUGCAUUUGAAACUGUUUAGCUUGAGUGCGAGAGAGGGUAGCGGGAUUCCCAGUGUAGCGGUGAAAUGCGUAGAUAUUGGGAAGAACACCAGUAGCGAAGGCGGCUACCUGGCUCGCAACUGACGCUAAUUCGCGAAAGCGUGGGGAGCAAACA
rnacentral:rRNA from 1 species